CGCCUGGGAGCGCCUCUCGCCCCGUCGCGUUUAUCGAGGAGACAGGUUCUAAAAGAGAAAAGCCCUCGCAUUUAAUUUCUCAUACCUGGACCUGCUCUCCCAGCCACUGAAAUACAGUAUAUCCAAGAUCAGUUCUGAUGACCAAGAUCCCAAAGACAAAUUGAAGACCUAGGCCCGAAAACACUGUCCUCCAGGACACCUAGGAUCAAUAAGAAUAUUAUUUCAAUGGUGAAAACUGAGGUUUAGAGAGGGUAAAUAACUUGCCCAAAAUCUGGAAAAGUUUGCCAACCCCUGGUCUUACUCCUCAUUAAGGUUUCCCUUCCUCUCCACCAUUCCCAAAUCUGAGUAUUCCAGAAGAGCUACUGUUUUUUUAAUGAUAUGGUAAAUUAAUUUCUAAAGGGAUUAAAAUGAAUACCUACCUGUUGUAAUGAAAAUAAAUGUAUAACAUAAAGCAAUCUGCAAAAUAACUGUUUUGCAGGCCUAAGACUUAUGCAGAGGUGGCGCCCGCCCGUAAUCCCAGCACUUCGGGAGGCCGAGACGGGCGGAUCGCUUGAGACCAGCCAGGAUAACAUGGCGAAACCACAUCUCUACAACAAAUACAAAAAUUAGCUGGGCGCGGUGGCACACGACUGUGGUUCCAGUUACUCGGCAGGCGGAGGUGGAAGGAUCCCUUGAGCCUCUGGAGGUGGAGGUUGCAGUGAGCUGUGAUUGCGCCACUGCACUCCAGCCUGGGCGACAGAGUGAGACCCUGUCAGAAAACAAAACAAAACAAAAGAAUUCUGUAAGAACUUCUAACAGGUACAUUCCUGUAAGCAUUACCCACCACUGGACUAGGCACUGGGUAGCCUGUAAAAUACAGUAAGAGCCGUCUCUGCACCCAGAAAAUUUACCAUCAUUUUGUGCUGGAAAGACAUGCCCUAGAAAACAAUAAACAGCACGACUGUACAUGAUUCCAUGCCAAAUGACUGCUAGGAAUUAUUUUAUUAAUCCAUUCAACAAAUACUUAUUGAGUAACCACUAUUAGCCAGCCACCGUUUUCCGUGUGAGGACAUAAAAAUGAGUGAGACAAGGUCUCUGCCAUCAAAAAACGAACAGAUCAGUGAGGAAAGACGGAUGUGUCAAGAAAGGCUUUGCAGGUCGAGCGCGGUGAAUCACGCUUGUAAUCCCAGCACACUGGGAGGCAGAGGCAGGCGGAUCAUUUGAGGUCAGGCGCUCGAGACCACCCUGGCCAACAUGGCGAAACUCCAUCUCUACUAAAAAUACAAAAAUUAUCCGGGCAUGGUGGUGCAGGCUUGUAAUCUCAGCUACUCAGGAGGCUGAGGCAGGAGAAUCAUUUGAACCCAGGAGGCAGAGGUUGCAGUGAGCCAUGAUCAUGCCACUGCACUCCAGCCUGGGUGAGCGAGACUCCAUCUCAAAAAAAAAAAAAAAAAAAAAAAAGAGGGAGAGAAAGACUUUACAGAGCUGGUAACACUUAUCCUGGCCUGGAAAGAAAGAAAGAAAGCUUCCUAUGACGCCCUCUGGAUAAAACUUA
rnacentral:lncRNA from 1 species